AUUGAACGCUGGCGGCAUGCUUUACACAUGCAAGUCGAACGGUAACAGGUCUUCGGAUGCUGACGAGUGGCGAACGGGUGAGUAAUACAUCGGAACGUGCCCGAUCGUGGGGGAUAACGGAGCGAAAGCUUUGCUAAUACCGCAUACGAUCUACGGAUGAAAGCAGGGGACCGCAAGGCCUUGCGCGGACGGAGCGGCCGAUGGCAGAUUAGGUAGUUGGUGGGAUAAAAGCUUACCAAGCCGACGAUCUGUAGCUGGUCUGAGAGGACGACCAGCCACACUGGGACUGAGACACGGCCCAGACUCCUACGGGAGGCAGCAGUGGGGAAUUUUGGACAAUGGGCGAAAGCCUGAUCCAGCCAUGCCGCGUGCAGGAUGAAGGCCUUCGGGUUGUAAACUGCUUUUGUACGGAACGAAAAGCCUCUUUCUAAUAAAGAGAGGUCAUGACGGUACCGUAGGAAUAAGCACCGGCUAACUACGUGCCAGCCGCCGCCGUAAUAC
rnacentral:rRNA from 1 species